GACGAACGCUGGCGGCGUGCUUAACACAUGCAAGUCGAGCGGAAAGGCCACUUCGGUGGUACUCGAGCGGCGAACGGGUGAGUAACACGUGAGUAAUCUGCCCCUGGCUUUGGGAUAGCCACCGGAAACGGUGAUUAAUACCGGAUACGACCACUUCUCGCAUGGGAUGGUGGUGGAAAGUUUUUUCGGCCAGGGAUGUGCUCGCGGCCUAUCAGCUUGAUGGUGAGGUAAUGGCUCACCAUGGCUUCGACGGGUAGCCGGCCUGAGAGGGUGACGGGUCACACUGGGAAUGAGACACGGCCCAGACUCCUACGGGAGGCAGCGGUGGGGAAUAUUGGACAAUGGGCGGAAGCCUGAUCCAGCAACGCCGCGUGAGGGAUGACGGCCUUCGGGUUGUAAACCUCUUUCAGCAGGGACGAAGCGCAGGUGACGGUACCUGCAGAAGAAGCACCGGCCAACUACGUGCCAGCCGCCGCAGUAA
rnacentral:rRNA from 1 species